UACGUAGGGGGCAAGCGUUAUCCGGACUUACUGGGUGUAAAGGGAGCGUAGGCGGUGCAGCAAGUCAGAAGUGAAAGCCCGGGGCUCAACUCCGGGACUGCUUUUGAAACUGUUGAAUUAGAUUGCAGGAGAGGUAAGUGGAAUUCCUAGUGUAGCGGUGAAAUGCGUAGAUAUUAGGAGGAACACCAGUGGCGAAGGCGGCUUACUGGACUGUAAAUGACGCUGAGGCUCGAAAGCGUGGGGAGCAAACAGG
rnacentral:rRNA from 1 species